rnacentral:tRNA from 3 species
GCCAGCGUAGCUCAGCGGCAGAGCAGCAGACUCAUAAGCUGUUGGUCGGUGGUUCGAUUCCACCCGCUGGCACCA